rnacentral:rRNA from 1 species
GCAUAUCAAUAAGCGGAGGAAAAGAAACCAACAGGGAUUGCCCUAGUAACGGCGAGUGAACAGGCAAGAGCUCAGAUUUGAAAGGCACUUUUGUGCCGUUGUAUUCUGAAGUUAGGGUCCUGAGAAACGAUGCUUAAGUCUUCUGGAAAGGAGCGCCAUGGAGGGUGAUAGCCCCGUCUAGCAUUGACCUCAUAUAGGAUCUUAACAUGGAGUCGAGUUGUUUGGGAAUGCAGCUCAAAUGGGUGGUAUGCUCCAUCUAAAGCUAAAUAUCUGCGAGAGACCGAUAGUAAACAAGUACUGUGAGGGAAAGAUGAAAAGAACUUUGAAAAGAGAGUGAAAAAGUACGUGAAAUUGUUGAAAUGGAAGGGUAGGCCGCUAACCAUGUAGAGCCGUGUUUGGGGGGAAGAUAAAUGCUGUAGAAUGUAGCUCCUCGGAGUAUUAUAGAUGCAGUUCAUAUUCCCACCCGAGCGCGAGGAUCUCAG